AUGGAACUUCUUAGGGUAGCAAUGGAUAAACUGACCUAUUUAGCUGCUGAGCAUGAUGGUUUGGGUUUGCAACACAGAAUUGAAAUGAAGAAGACAAAAGGUACAGAAUUGACUCUCUUCCAAGGAGCACAACAUGGAUACAUGAGCGAUGAUGAAGGUAGCGCCGUCAAAAAUUUCAUUGGAUUAUCAGCUCCAGAACAGAAACGCAAGGCCGGUCAACCAACAAACAGCAGAGACAAGCCUCCAUAUGAUGACCAGUCUGCAAAGAGCAAAAAAAUUAAGGUCACAUCACAAGUUGAUACAGGUAUUGGAUGCAGUACAAGCAAACGAACACGGUUCUGCACUAUAUGUCGUGGCCCUAUUCACAAGAGCACAACGUGUCCGCUAAGAGGGGACACUCCUCAAAAGAAAAGGAAAGAAUCAAAAUGCUCAAUCUGCGGAGUGGGAGGGCAUCGAAAGAACACCUGCACAUGGAAAGCAACCUACUCAUGA
rnacentral:rRNA from 1 species